CCUACGGGAGGCAGCAGUAGGGAAUCUUCCGCAAUGGACGAAAGUCUGACGGAGCAACGCCGCGUGAGUGAUGAAGGUUUUCGGAUCGUAAAACUCUGUUGUUAGGGAAGAACAAGUGCCGUUCGAAAGGGCGGCACCUUGACGGUACCUAACGAGAAAGCCACGGCUAACUACGUGCCAGCAGCCGCGGUAAU
rnacentral:rRNA from 1 species